rnacentral:rRNA from 1 species
GUAGGCUGCAACUCGCCUACAUGAAGUUGGAAUCGCUAGUAAUCGCGAACCAGAAUGUCGCGGUGAAUACGUUCCCGGGUCUUGUACACACCGCCCGUCACACCACGAGAGUUUACAACACCCGAAGUCAGUGGCCUAACCGCAAGGAGGGAGCUGCCUAAGGUGGGGUAGAUGAUUGGGGUGAAGUCGUAACAAGGUAGC